rnacentral:rRNA from 1 species
CGUCGAGUGGCGAACGGGUGAGUAACACGUGGGUGAUCUGCCCUGCACUUCGGGAUAAGCUUGGGAAACUGGGUCUAAUACCGGAUAGGACCAUGCUUUAGUGUGUGUGGUGGAAGUUUUUCGGUGUAGGAUGAGCCCGCGGCCUAUCAGCUUGUUGGUGGGGUAAUGGCUUACCAAGGCUUUGACGGGUAGCCGGCCUGAGAGGGUGACCGGCCACAUUGGGACUGAGAUACGGCCCAG